AGGAGGAGGAGAAGGUGGCCGAGGGAGGAGGGUAGAGGUUGUCGCUGUAGUCCGUCUCAAGAGAGGUGGAUGAACCCAAAGCAGGCCUGAAGUCCAGCGAAACAAAUGAAUCCAGAAGGAACAGACAUCUUUUCAUCGGCGCAGGCGAACUCCGCCUGCAGUGUUUUUAUGAUGAGCUGUAGCGUGACGGUGGGAGAAGUCAGCCCUGGUAGAAACGUGUGGGUGUGAUCCGGGUUUGAACUCCAAAUCCUUGUUGCUCUUAAAUGCAACAAGUCAAAACCUGAAUCUCUCUUUGGUCCUUUGUUCUCCAGAUGGUUUUAUUCAGGAUGAAGCUUUUAGGAGUUGUUCAAACAUAGAUGAGUCUCAGAAAUAAACAGUUUCUUCAGUAAAACUCA